rnacentral:rRNA from 1 species
UACAGAGGGUGCGAGCGUUAAUCGGAAUUACUGGGCGUAAAGCGCGCGUAGGCGGCUUUGCAAGUCGGGUGUGAAAUCCCCAGGCUUAACCUGGGAACUGCAUUCGAGUCUGCAUUGCUAGAGUAUGGGAGAGGGAAGUGGAAUUUCCGGUGUAGCGGUGAAAUGCGUAGAUAUCGGAAAGAACACCAACGGCGAAAGCACUCUGCUGGGCCGACACUGACACUGAGAGACGAAAGCUAGGGGAGCGAAUGGG